rnacentral:rRNA from 1 species
AGUAUCAAAGCUUUUGCGGUACAGGAUGGACCCGCGUCUGAUUAGCUAGUUGGUAAGGUAACGGCUUACCAAGGCGACGAUCAGUAGCCGACCUGAGAGGGUGAUCGGCCACAUUGGAACUGAGACACGGUCCAAACUCCUACGGGAGGCAGCAGUGGGGAAUAUUGCAAGAGGGGCGAAAGCCUGAUGCAGCAACGCCGCGUGAGUUAAGAGGGCCUUCGGGUCGUAAAGCUCUGUCCUCAAGGAAGAUAAUGA